rnacentral:misc_RNA from 1 species
UCAUGAACAAGAGUACCGGCCAAUAGCCGGUGCUGGCCGUUACGUCGUUGCUGCAUAGGAUUUUGCCGCGCAAAUAUACACAAUCGCAUUAAUCGUGACAGCUGCGAAUAAGUAUCUGAGAGAUUAAAAAAUGACAGAUUCUGAUCAUGAAGAAGCAGAUAUGGAUAAAUUAGAGUUAUCUUCAGAUUCUACAGAUAUAAUAACAAAAAAGAGAUUACGAGAGGAAGAUUCUGAAGAUGAAACAAAAAAUUUAUGUACUAAAAAACAACGAAAUUUCUCUGGUGAACAGUCAGAAAUAUUAAAAAUAGAAAACCCCAAGAUUAAUUCAGAUAAAAAUAAUACUGAUGAAUAUAAUAUAAAAGAGGAAAAGCAUACAAUAGUUUCAAAAAGCGAACAAAAUGUACAUGAGAAAUUUCUAUCUGAAUCAAACAUGAAGGAGGAUAAAGAAAAACAAGAUAAUAAAUUAAUCAAAGAGGAAAAUGGGAAUGACAGUCCUUUUGAUAAAGAUAAUUCCAUGGAUGAAAUUAUACAUGAUUUCAUGAAUGAAACUGUAGAAGACAAAAUCAAGGAAGAAGAAAAAGAAAGUAAUAAAGAAAUUAAUGAAGCAGAUGAAGCAAAAGAAGAAAGUAAGAAAGAUGAGAUAAAAAGAAAACGUAUUGCGAAAAAUCGAAUUGUAGAUACAGAAGUAGUAGAUGGAUUGGAGCUUUCAGUAGAAUGCGCGAGUGAUAAAGAAGAACCAAGUUCCGAGAGUGAAGAUGAAAAAGAAAUAAAGCCACGCCCGAAGACGAUAAUUGUUAAAGCUGAACCAAAUGAAUCAGAAUUGGAAUGUAGUAUGUCAGAGACAGAAAAGUCUGAUUCGCAAGAAAUCAGUAACACAUUGGAGAUUAAAUCAGAGAAAAAGGUAAAGAAAAGAGGACCCCGAACAAGUUUCAGUAAAUUGAAGACUUCUGAGUCUGAGGAGAGUCAGAAUAAUAAUUCGGAUGAAGAUUAUAGUCCACGAACUAAAAAGAUGAAAAAAUCUCCAUUAACUAAGAAAACAAAACGCUCUGUGGAAUCAAAGAGAGGACGAAGUGUAAAGAAAUAUUCUUACAAGAAGAAUAUUGAACAUAUAUCUGAUGAUGAUAGUGUGACUUCAACAGAGAAAAUUAAUAAAGCAAAAAAAACUAAGAAUGGAACAGAAGAAGACUUGUCAGAAAAAGAUUCUUCGGCAAGUGAAAAUAAUAAUAAUUCUGAAGAUGAGAAAAAAUUGAAGAAUAAACGGACGAGACGUAGUAGUGCUGAACCAGAUAACAAUAGCCAAAUACAAAAAUUGAAAAAAUAUAUAAAGGUUGCUGGUAUAAAAGUAAAAUCUUAUUAUGAGCUUUGGGCUGAUUGUAAGAAUAAUUCUGCAAGAAUUAAGCGCCUAAAGGAAUUAUUGGAAAAAAAUGGUAUUAAUGGGAGGCCAACAUUGGAAAAAUGUAAACGAGCAAAAAAAAAGAAAGAGAAAAUGCAAGAAGUGUCCGAAUUAGAUAUAUCCAACAUUAUAUCUGAAGGGCGUGUUACGCGCGCAAGAAGAAAUAUGAACAACAAAUCAACACCUCCAGAUACACCGCAACGAUAUCGAGAAACUCGCAAACGUAUUCAAAGCAUCAUUGAUAGUGAUUCAGAGUAAAGCAUAAAGGAGGCUGAGAAGAGACUCAUGAUAACCGAAAUAAAUGUAAAUACAUAAACAUGUGCAUAAUUACGUACCAGCAUAUUGUCUACACCCUGUUGAUCAGCAGCAAUCACCAUAUUGCAGGCAGCACAUGUUUUUGCAUAUGAUUUUUGAUAACAAGGAAGACAUAAUGGGCGAUCAUUUUCAGUAAUAUAUUGUUGCCCAGCUAAUGGCAUAUCACAAUCCCAACAACAGAA